GCCCUUGUAGUUCAGUUGGUAGAACACAUGACUGUUAAUCAUGGAGUCGUAGGUUCAAGUCCUACCGGGGGCGCCA
rnacentral:tRNA from 1 species